rnacentral:tRNA from 1 species
AUUUAAGUAGCUUAAAUUAGAGCAUAAUAUUGAAGAUAUUAAGGUAAUACUAAUUCUUAAAUA